GCCUGGCUAGCUCAGUCGGUAGGGCAUGAGACUCUUAAUCUCAGGAUGGUGGGUUUGAGCCCUGUGCUGGGCA
rnacentral:tRNA from 1 species